UAUUCUGGUAUGUUACUUCCCACUUUUUUUUUUAAAUGUGGACCAUCAGCUACUGCUUAUACAGCAACUUGGCUUGUCAUAUUUAGCACGGUCUGCAAUUGCUUCGUUUCGCGAUUAGUACGCUGGUCUUAACUUCAGGUGCGACUAAACAGUGUUUACAAGUUUCUUUUUUGACUCUUUUUUAUAUCUCGAAUUUUUUUUUAUUGCAUACUUCACAUUACAUUAUGGCUAUUUCAUCUCAUCUCAAUAUAAGGUCUUUAUACCCAGGUUAUCCAUUUCAAGAUUUUCUAUUUCAAGGGCAAGGUCGGAUGAAUCAACUGGGUGGAGUGUUUAUCAAUGGACGACCUCUACCUAAUCAUGUCCGUCUAAAGAUCGUAGAAUUGGCCGCAGCCGGUGUCCGUCCUUGCGUCAUCAGUCGACAGUUGAGAGUAUCUCAUGGAUGUGUGUCCAAAAUCUUAAAUAGAUAUCAGGAAACAGGUAGUAUUAGACCUGGUGUGAUUGGAGGAAGCAAACCACGUGUUGCCACUCCUGAAGUUGAAAAGAAAAUUGAGGAAUAUAAAAGAGAUAAUCCUGGUAUUUUCAGCUGGGAAAUCAAAGACAGACUAGUCAAGGAUGGUAUCUGUGAUAAAGAAUCAGUUCCGAGUGUCAGUUCCAUCAGUCGUGUGCUCCGUGGUUCACGCCUUGGUUCAAGUGAAUCUGGUGAUUCAUGUGACGGAAGCAAAAAGGCCGAUCACAGCAUCGAUGGUAUUUUGGGAGGUCGCUUAGGCAACGAUGAAUCUGAUUGUGAAUCAGAACCGGGCAUUCCUUUAAAACGAAAACAGCGCAGAUCUAGAACAACCUUCAGUGCAGAACAAGUGGAAGAACUGGAAAGGGCAUUUGAAAGGACUCAAUAUCCCGAUAUCUACACCAGAGAAGAACUAGCUUUGAGAACAGGCCUCACUGAAGCACGAGUUCAAGUAUGGUUUAGCAAUCGUCGUGCUCGAUGGAGAAAGCAAGUUGGAGGCCAACACUUGACUGCCGCUUUUUCUGCAGCACCAACUGUUCCGUUGGGUUACUCAGCCAAUCCUCACUGCUAUGAAGCAAAUGCUCACCCUGAUGCCAGUACAUGGCAUCGAGCACAAGCCCUGAGUGGUACUACAUCUACAUCAGGAUUUCAACCUUCUUUCUCCUCAAGUCAUUCCACAGCUUAUUCACAACUACCUCCUGAACCAUGCGUCAAUCCAGCCCCACUAGCCCAACAGAUGUUCUCUAUUUUGGGAAACUCAGUCAAUACUAACUCCCAAGUGUCUUCUACUUCUGAAUUCCAUCUACCACCAACAAACAGCGAGAUGGGAUGGAACUCUGCAAACAUGCAACCUCGACCCGACACUACAUCUUCGUGGAACCCCGCACCAUUUCCUACAUCAACCGAAAACUAUACUGGGAUGCUUAACAACACUGAACCUUACGUGAGUACUGCAUACAAUAACUUACAAGCUGCUCAUCACUUCAUGGGUUUGGAUGUGAAACCUUAUACACCACAAUUCCCAACAGUCAACUCAAAUUCAGUAUAUAAGGAGUUUGACAAUUCUUGCAAUGGAUUAGCAUCUCUAAGACAAAAAUCUCGACAACAUGCAACUGCUUUAGGAAUCUACUGAUGACAUGAAUGGGAAUCUACUGAUGAGGGUUCAAAAGUCUACUGAUGAUGAUUCAGAAGUCGUCUGGUGAUGAUUUAGAAGGUUAAUGAUGAUUCAAAAUUGCAACUUCUUAAAAAAAAAGUAACAACCUGUUGAUGACUACAGUUCAGUCUGACUUUCUACCUUGUCAACUCAGAAUUCUCAGCAUACAAAGGAAAAUGGGAAUCAUCAACAAUACUAUACAAAGUA
rnacentral:misc_RNA from 1 species